rnacentral:rRNA from 1 species
CUGAUCCCAUGCCGAACUCAGAAGUGAAACGUUGUAGCGCCGAUGGUAGUGUGGGGUCUCCCCAUGUGAGAGUAGGGAACUGCCAAGC